AUGCCCGCCGUUCCGCUUGUCUGGCCCACGCAUGUCGGCCGAGACCGCGCCCGGUCCUCGCGCAAAUACCCAAGCGCCCACCCGAACACGCGGCUCCGCUCCAACCAUCACCAGCGGCGCGCCCCCACCAAAAGUCCAACCCCACGCACGCAUCCGGUGCAGCAUGGAUCCGGCAGAGAGGAUCCCCGGGCCGGGCCGGGACGGCAGCGGGGACCGGCGGCCGCGCACCACGCGUCGUACAGACGUCGCCCACACCACACGCACACGUUAUUCUCAAGGUCACGAGUAGAACAACGCAGUCGCGGUUCCAUCGCGCCUACGGAUCGUCGGUCCGUCCACCGCACCGCUCCCAGGCCGUCCCUCUCUCUCUCUCGUCCACACUUGUCUCUCGUGCCCACUGCAGCUUGGCCCUUUCCGUCCCCGUAG
rnacentral:rRNA from 1 species